rnacentral:piRNA from 1 species
UUGGACUAUAACUAUAAAGAACUUGAAGGGA